rnacentral:rRNA from 1 species
AGAGUUUGAUCCUGGCUCAGGAUGAACGCUGGCGGCGUGCUUAACACAUGCAAGUUGAGCGGUUUCUUUCAAAUGAGACUUCGGUGGAUUUUGGAAGAGAUAGCAGCGGACGGGUGAGUAAAGCACAAGGACGUGCCCUGAGGCGGGGGACAACUACGGGAAACCGUAGCUAAUACCCCGUAAGCCGAGAGGUGAAAGCAGCAAUGCGCCGAAGGAGCGACUUGUGUCCUAUCAGGUAGUUGGUGAGGCAACGGCUCACCAAGCCGAAGACGGGUAGCCGGACUGAGAGGUUGUACGGCCACAUUGGAACUGAGAGACGGUCCAGACUCCUACGGGAGGCAGCAGUGGGGAAUAUUGGGCAAUGGGCGGAAGCCUGACCCAGCGACGCCGCGUGAGGGAAGACAGCCUUCGGGUUGUAAACCUCUGUUGCAGGGGAAGAAGGAAGUGACGGUACCCUGCGAGGAAGCUCCGGCUAACUACGUGCCAGCAGCCGCGGUAAUACGUAGGGAGCGAGCGUUGUCCGGAAUUACUGGGCGUAAAGGGCGCGAAGGCUGCGAUUCAAGUCAACUGUCAAAUUCCAGGGCUUAACCCCGGCCUGCAGUUGAAACUGAAUUGCUCGAGGCGCAGAGAGGCAGACAGAAUUCCUGGUGUAGCGGUGAAAUGCGUAGAUAUCAGGAAGAAUACCAGUGGCGAAGGCGGUCUGCUGGCUGCGAACUGACGCUCAAGCGCGAAAGCCAGGGGAGCAAACGGGAUUAGAUACCCCGGUAGUCCUGGCAGUAAACGAUGUAUGCUGGGUGUGAGAUCAGCGAUGAUUUCGUGCCGAAGUUAACGCGAUAAGCAUACCGCCUGGGGAGUACGGUCGCAAGAUUGAAACUCAAAGGAAUUGACGGGGGCCCGCACAAGCGGUGGAGCACGUGGUUUAAUUCGAUGCAAACCGAAGAACCUUACCUGGGUUUGACAUGCAAGUGUUAGGAGCUGGAAACAGCGACGAAUUUACCGCAAGGUAAAUAGCUUGCACAGGUGCUGCAUGGCUGUCGUCAGCUCGUGUCGUGAGAUGUUGGGUUAAGUCCCGCAACGAGCGCAACCCCUGCGGCUAGUUGCCAUCAAUACGGUUGGGCACUCUAGCAGGACUGCCAUCGACAAGAUGGAGGAAGGUGGGGACGACGUCAAGUCAUCAUGGCCCUUAUGUCCAGGGCGACACACGUGCUACAAUGGACGGUACAGAGGGAAGCGAGGCAGUGAUGUUGGGCGGAUCCCGAAAAGCCGUUCUCAGUUCGGAUUGAAGUCUGCAAUUCGACUUCAUGAAGCUGGAAUCGCUAGUAAUCGCAGAUCAGCCAAGCUGCGGUGAAUCCGUUCCCGGGCCUUGUACACACCGCCCGUCACACCACCCGAGCCGGGUGUACCCGAAGCCGGUGGCCUAACCGCAAGGAAGGAGCCGUCGAAGGUGUGUCUGGUGAGGGGGGUGAAGUCGUAACAAGGUAACCGUA